rnacentral:rRNA from 1 species
CAGGGAUUGCCUCAGUAACGGCGAGUGAAGCGGCAACAGCUCAAAUUUGAAAUCUGGCUCCUUCGGGGCCCGAGUUGUAAUUUGCAGAGGAUGCGUCGGGUACGGGUGCCUUCCGAGUUCCCUGGAACGGGACGCCAUAGAGGGUGAGAGCCCCGUCUGGUAGGACACCCAGCCCGUGUGACGCUCCCUCGACGAGUCGAGUAGUUUGGGAAUGCUGCUCUAACGGGAGGUAUACUCCUUCCAAGGCUAAAUACCGGCUGGAGACCGAUAGCGCACAAGUAGAGUGAUCGAAAGAUGAAAAGCACUUUGAAAAGAGAGUCAAACAGCACGUGAAAUUGUUAAAAGGGAAGCGCUCGCUACCAGACUUGGGUUCGGCGGUUCAACCGGGGCCACGCCCCGGGGCAUUCCGCCGGCCCAGGCCAGCAUCAGCUUUCCGUCGGGGGUAAAGGCGUCGGGAAUGUGGCUCCCCUUCGGGGGAGUGUUAUAGCCCGUCGUGUCAUACCCUUCGGGGGGCUGAGGUACGCGCUUCUGCAAGGAUGCUGGCGUAAUGGUAGCUAGUGACCCGUCUUGAAACACGGACCAAGGAGUCAACCUUAUGUGCGAGUGCCCGGGCGUAAAACCCCAGCGCGGAAUGAAAGUGAACGUAGGUGAGAGCUUCGGCGCAUCACCGACCGAUCCUGAUGUCCUCGGACGGAUUUGAGUGAGAGCAUAUAGGGUUGGACCCGAAAGAAGAUGAACUAUGCGUGUGUAGGGUGAAGCCAGAGGAAACUCUGGUGGAGGCUCGCAGCGGUUCUGACGUGCAAAUCGAUCGUCAAACAUGCGCAUGGGG